ensembl:piRNA 21ur-12867 ncRNA
UUGCGGUUCUUAGUAAUUUCU